GUGCUUGCUUUGGGAGUACAUACUACAUAUGGAAAAAUACCAAGAAGACUAGUAUGUACCCAUAAACCAGGAUGACAUGCAAAAUCGUAAAGUGUUCCAGAGAGAG
rnacentral:snRNA from 1 species